rfam:Lupinus angustifolius cultivar Tanjil chromosome LG08, whole genome shotgun sequence.
GGUGACGGUGAUGACCACAUAAAAUUCAAGCUCAACAGACCGGAAUGCACGGUUUUCUCUUUUCAGAGAUUUCUUUGCGUGUCGACAACCCCGCUGAACUGAGUCAUC